AGUGAACGCUGGCGGUAGGCCUAACACAUGCAAGUCGAACGGCAGCACAGUAAGAGCUUGCUCUUACGGGUGGCGAGUGGCGGACGGGUGAGGAAUACAUCGGAAUCUACUUUUUCGUGGGGGAUAACGUAGGGAAACUUACGCUAAUACCGCAUACGACCUACGGGUGAAAGCAGGGGAUCUUCGGACCUUGCGCGAUUGAAUGAGCCGAUGUCGGAUUAGCUAGUUGGCGGGGUAAAGGCCCACCAAGGCGACGAUCCGUAGCUGGUCUGAGAGGAUGAACAGCCACAGGGGAAAGGAGCCACGGACCAGCCCCCAAGGGGAGGCAGCAGUGGGAAUUAUUGAACAAGGGGCGCAAGCCUGACCCACCCAUCCCGGGGGGGUGAAAAAGGCCUUGGGUUUGAAAGCCCUUUUUGUGGGAAAAAAAAAGCAGAAGUUAAAUACCCCGCUGUUCUGAGGGUACCCAAAAAAAAACCCCGGGCAAGUUUGGGC
rnacentral:rRNA from 1 species